rnacentral:rRNA from 1 species
GGUUAUUAUACACCCCAACCCCAUCCCUUGAAAAAAAGAGGUAGCACCGAAGAAAGGAAAUAUCGAUAUGGUGAUUUUUGUUGUUCCCGCGAAGCGAAGAUCAUUCGCUUGGCGAAUGAAGUGGAUCAACCUCUUUUUGGCUCGGGCCAAACACUUUUUCUCGCUCGUAGAGCUUUCUAAAGAAAAAAGCGAUGCGAAAGCGUAUUCUCUUAUCUAAAAUUAACAACACAAAAACUUUCUAAGAAAUUACCCUGCAAGAAAACGUAUGCGCGUGGGCGCAACGGAUUUUGCUCCCGUGCGCUCAUCCCUUGCUUGUUCUUUCGGACUAGCACUCUUUCCCUCUCUUUGAAGUAG